UACGUAGGGGGCAAGCGUUAUCCAGAUUUACUAGGUGUAAAGGGAGCGCAGACGGAACUGCAAGUCUGAUGUGAAAGCCCGGGGCUCAACCGCGGGACUGCAUUGGAAACUGUAGAUCUGGAGUGCCGGAGGGGCAAGCGGAAUUCCUGGUGUAGCAGUGAAAUGCGUAGAUAUCAGGAGGAACACCGGCGGCGAAGGCGGCUUGCUGGGCGGCAACUGACGUUGAGGCUCGAAAGCGUGGGGAGCAAACAGGAUUAGAUA
rnacentral:rRNA from 1 species